rnacentral:rRNA from 1 species
CCCUUAGAUGUUCUGGGCUGCACGCGCGCUACACUGAUACUUUCAGCGAGUCCACCACCUUGCCUGGGAGGGUGGGGUAACCUCUGGAAAGUGCAUCGUGAUGGGGAUCGAUUAUUGUAAUUAUUAAUCUUCAACGAGGAAUUCCUAGUAAGCGCGAGUCAUCAGCUCGCGUUGAUUACGUCCCUGCCCUUUGUACACACCGCCCGUCGCUCCUACCGAUUGAAUGGUCCGGUGAAAUCUUCGGAUUGCUGACCAAGAUCCAGCAAUGGAGCUUGGUUGCGAGAAGUUGAUUAAACCUUAUUAUUUAGAGGAAGGAGAAGUCGUAACA